AAGAGAAACAGGGAUCCUUUUGUGCAUGCAAUUAUUGCCAUAUCACACAUAUAAUCUCCCAAUUUUCAUGUAGCUUAAUUGUAAUGAACAAUCUCCAAUGUUGUUAGUAAGUGUAUUAGCUGUAUGGCGCAUUGAAGCAAUUCCCUAUUUAGAAGGCGCGAGGUACCUCUAUGCAUAUGCCCCGCUCCCCUCUUUUUCCCAAUAAUACGAAUGUUGUUGGGAGCACACAGCCUUAUAAUGGCCACUUCUGCAUUGCCAGUUUUCCAGAUUGAUUAUACCUUCUGCCAUUUACAUGAAUUGCAACAGCUUUUGCUUUACACUGUCCCCAUCUUCAUUUUCAAUUUUUAUAUCAAUGUAAUUAUCGUCUUUUUCACUUGCAAUUUUAUCUUUAUCAAUAAAAUAAGAAAAUUAAAAAAAAA
rnacentral:misc_RNA from 1 species